AACGAACGCUGGCGGCAUUCCUAACACAUGCCAGUCGAACGAGACCUUCGGGUCUAGUGUCGCACGGGUGCGUAACGCGUGGGUACCUGCCCUUAGGUUCGGAAUAACUCCCCGAAAGGGGUGCUAAUACCGGAUAAUGUCUUCGGACCAAAGAUUUAUCGCCUUUGGAUGGGCCCGCGUUGGAUUAGCUAGUUGGUAGGGUAAAAGCCUACCAAGGCGACGAUCCAUAGCUGGUCUGAGAGGAUGAUCAGCCACACUGGGACUGAGACACGGCCCAGACUCCGACGGGAGGCAGCAGUGGGGAAUGUUGGACAAUGGGCGAAAGCCUGAUCCAGCAAUGCCGCGUGAGUGAUGAAGGCCUUAGGGUUGUAAAGCUCUUUUACCCGGGAUGAUAAUGACAGUACCGGGAGAAUAAGCUCCGGCUAACUCAGUG
rnacentral:rRNA from 1 species